CCUACGGGAGGCAGCAGUGAGGAAUAUUGGUCAAUGGUCGGGAGACUGAACCAGCCAAGCCGCGUGAGGGAUGAAGGUACAGAGUAUCGUAAACCUCUUUUGUCAGGGAACAAAGGCGGGGACGUGUCCCCGGCUGAGUGUACCUGAAGAACAAGCAUCGGCUAACUCCGUGCCAGCAGCCGCGGUAAUACGGAGGAUGCGAGCGUUAUCCGGAUUUAUUGGGUUUAAGGGGUGCGCAGGCGGUCUGUUAAGUCAGCGGUCAAAGCCCGGGGCUCAACCCCGGCCCGCCGUUGAAACUGGCAGUCUCGAGUGGGAGAGAAGUAGGCGGAAGGCGCGGUGUAGCGGUGAAAUGCAUAGAUAUCGCGCAGAACUCCGAUUGCGAAGGCAGCAUGCCGGCUCCAAACUGACGCUGAGGCACGAAAGCGUGGGUAUCGAACAGGAUUAGAUACCCUGGUAGUC
rnacentral:rRNA from 1 species